UACGGGGGGGGCAAGCGUUGUUCGGAAUUACUGGGCGUAAAGGGCUCGUAGGCGGCCAACUAAGUCAGACGUGAAAUCCCCCGGCUUAACCAGGGAACUGCGUCUGAUACUGGAUGGCUUGAGUUUGGGAGAGGGAUGCGGAAUUCCAGGUGUAGCGGUGAAAUGUGUAGAUAUCUGGAGGAACACCGGUGGCGAAGGCGACAUCCUGGACCAAUACUGACGCUGAGUGAGCGAAAGCCAGGGGAGCAAACGGG
rnacentral:rRNA from 1 species